UGCAGUCGAGCGGAUGAAGGGAGCUUGCUCCCUGAUUCAGCGGCGGACGGGUGAGUAAUGCCUAGGAAUCUGCCUGAUAGUGGGGGACAACGUUUCGAAAGGAACGCUAAUACCGCAUACGUCCUACGGGAGAAAGCAGGGGACCUUCGGGCCUUGCGCUAUCAGAUGAGCCUAGGUCGGAUUAGCUAGUUGGUGAGGUAAUGGCUCACCAAGGCGACGAUCCGUAACUGGUCUGAGAGGAUGAUCAGUCACACUGGAACUGAGACACGGUCCAGACUCCUACGGGAGGCAGCAGUGGGGAAUAUUGGACAAUGGGCGAAAGCCUGAUCCAGCCAUGCCGCGUGUGUGAAGAAGGUCUUCGGAUUGUAAAGCACUUUAAGUUGGGAGGAAGGGCAUUAACCUAAUACGUUAGUGUUUUGACGUUACCGACAGAAUAAGCACCGGCUAACUUCGUGCCAGCAGCCGCGGUAAUACGAAGGGUGCAAGCGUUAAUCGGAAUUACUGGGCGUAAAGCGCGCGUAGGUGGUUUGUUAAGUUGGAAGUGAAAGCCCCGGGCUCAACCUGGGAACUGCUUUCAAAACUGGCAAGCUAGAGUAUGGCAGAGGGUGGUGGAAUUUCCUGUGUAGCGGUGAAAUGCGUAGAUAUAGGAAGGAACACCAGUGGCGAAGGCGACCACCUGGGCUAAUACUGACACUGAGGUGCGAAAGCGUGGGGGAGCAAACAGGAUUAGAUACCCUGGUAGUCCACGCCGUAAACGAUGUCGACUAGCCGUUGGGAUCCUUGAGAUCUUAGUGGCGCAGCUAACGCAUUAAGUCGACCGCCUGGGGAGUACGGCCGCAAGGUUAAAACUCAAAUGAAUUGACGGGGGCCCGCACAAGCGGUGGAGCAUGUGGUUUAAUUCGAAGCAACGCGAAGAACCUUACCAGGCCUUGACAUGCAGAGAACUUUCCAGAGAUGGAUUGGUGCCUUCGGGAACUCUGACACAGGUGCUGCAUGGCUGUCGUCAGCUCGUGUCGUGAGAUGUUGGGUUAAGUCCCGUAACGAGCGCAACCCUUGUCCUUAGUUACCAGCACGUCAUGGUGGGCACUCUAAGGAGACUGCCGGUGACAAACCGGAGGAAGGUGGGGAUGACGUCAAGUCAUCAUGGCCCUUACGGCCUGGGCUACACACGUGCUACAAUGGUCGGUACAAAGGGUUGCCAAGCCGCGAGGUGGAGCUAAUCCCAUAAAACCGAUCGUAGUCCGGAUCGCAGUCUGCAACUCGACUGCGUGAAGUCGGAAUCGCUAGUAAUCGUGAAUCAGAAUGUCACGGUGAAUACGUUCCCGGGCCUUGUACACACCGCCCGUCACACCAUGGGAGUGGGUUGCUCCAGAAGUAGCUAGUCUAACCUUCGGGGGGACGG
rnacentral:rRNA from 3 species